rnacentral:lncRNA from 1 species
GUGAUGUGAGGAAGAGGCUUUGAGUCUGCAUGGGUCCUUUGAGUCUUCACUAAUUUCUGCUGCAGAGCCACCAGCUGGCCACGUUUCCUGGGACCUGGAAGAUUCUGCUAAGGCAUGCCUGGAUAAACACUUUAAAGAAAUGCAAUGGAACUCUUUCAACAGAAUUUCCGGGUCCAAAAGGCAAUCUGAAUAUACCAGCAGGAUCCAAACUGCUCUGAAAUGUGGUCUCACUGAAACAAAUUGGUUUUGCCAGCAAGGUGGAAAUGAAUUCAUCAAGUCUGUGUCACGAGCAGCCACACAGUGUGAAAACAGCCAACACUUCUCCUGUUGACUGACAUCACUUCGCGGAUUUAACUUCUGUGCUUCCAAGCCCAACCUCUUAUAUCCUCUCUCCAGGCAUUUUACAUUUCACUUGCCACUCUCUACUCUCUAAAAGCAGAGAAGCAGCUUUGCGAGAAGUAGUAAAAUUAUGAGAAUAAGCUGGAAGAAAUGUUUUGGAUAAAGAGCUGGUAACAUUUAAGGCAAAUUGCUCUGGUAUAAAUUCAGUCCUGUACUAGCACCAUCUCAUAGAUCACAGAGUAGCCGGUGGGUGAAGUUGAUGGGAUAUUGAUUCCAGCAGGAAAAUAAAGGGCUAUAAAACAAAAGAUGAUUAACACGAAAUCCUUGAGUAAAGCAAAGUCUUAAUAGACUGGGAGCUGUUAAAUCAAAGAGUGGGUGAGAGGACUGGGCUUUCAGAUCACUUACAACUGAAUUCUUUUCAUUGUGUAUUAAAAUUCUCCUGUGUGUUUUUACUUUCCUGUAUAUUAUCAAUCCAUAUUCCUCCAGUGAAAAACAUCUGAAAUUGCAUGUGGGGAAAAGGAACCAAAUCCGGGACACAUCAUCAAUCAGAAAGAAGGAAACUCACAAAGCAAUGGCAAUCAGGGCCUUAAAAACCUAUAAAUACUGUCAGAAAAUGAAUAUUUUUCUAUUUCUUUCAUUUCAUUAAGUCCCACUAAUGUUUCUCUACAUACCACGUGCACCUCUCUUUUAAUAAAUUCUGCUGCAAUGCACGUUACAGGUUGAUUUGUUGCUUAAAAUAUGCAGUACUCAAUGCACAGAUGUACUUCUAAAAUAUUCUUCUAGCAAGUUUCCAGAGCCAAGUAGUUUUUUAGUCAAAAUUACUCUACAAAGGAAAUGCACCCCUGAUUCCCUCCACCCUCUAUCAACACACACACACCACCACCACCACAUCACCAAUACCACAAGCACACACAUCACCACCACCACAUCACCACUGCACUAGCACACACACCACCAUCAUCACAUCACCACUGCACUAGCACACACACCACCACCACCACAUCACCACUGCACUAGUACACACACCACCACCAUCACAUCACCACUGCACUAGUACACACACCAUCACCAUCACAUCACCACUGCACUAGUACACACACCAUCACCACAUCACCACUGCACCAGCACACACACCAUCACCAACACAUCACCACUGCACUAGUACACACACCAUCACCACCACAUCACCACUGCACUAGUACACACACCAUCACCACAUCACCACUGCACUAGUACACACACCAUCACCACCACAUCACCACUGCACCAGUACACACACCAUCACCACCACAUCACCACUGCACUAGUACACACACCAUCACCACCACAUCA